rnacentral:lncRNA from 10 species
GGUCAGAAGUGACCAGUGCUUUACUCACAAAGGGAAGGACAGACUUGGGUAAGGAGAGCUGGAGGGGAAGGAAGAAGACCCAACUCCAGUGGUAAGUGAGAGCUCUGCUGGCGUCGUGUUGAAGUUUGGUCCUCUUUGAAGUGGACACAGUCUUCCAGGGCAGAUCUUCUUAGGCUCUGGUUGUGGUGAGCUCGUCUCUUACAUUGUGCUUACUUAGAUCAAUGCCUUUUCAGUGUUUGUUUAAAUCAACAAGUGUUUUCCUGGAUGCCUACAGAGCUGGAACCUGAGGUCCCCUAAACAU